GACGAACGCUGGCGGCGUGCCUAAUACAUGCAAGUCGAACGAAGUGGGGACGGGUGAGUAACACGUGGGUAACCUCCCAUCAGAGGGGAUAACACUUGGAAACAGGUGCUAAACCGAUACUGAUGGAUGGACCCGCGGUGCAUUAGCUAGUUGGUGAGGUAACGGCUCACCAAGGCCACGAUGCAUAGCCGACCUGAGGGGGUGAUCGGCCGACCUGGGACUGAGCCACGGCCCAGCCUCCUACGGGAGGCAGCAGGAGGGAAGCGUGGGCAAUUGACGAAAGUCUGACCGACCAACGCCGCGUGAGUGAGGGAGGUAUUCGGAUCGUAAAACUCUUUUGUUAUAUAAGCGGUAUCUAACCAGAAAGCCACGGCUAACUACGUGCCAGCCGCCGCGGUAAUUC
rnacentral:rRNA from 1 species